GUGCCAGCAGCCGCGGUAAGACAGAGGGUGCAAGCGUUGUUCGGAAUUAUUGGGCGUAAAGCGCGCGUAGGCGGCGGGGUAAGUCGAAUGUGAAAUCCCGUGGCUCAACCAUGGAAGUGCAUUCGAAACUACCUUGCUCGAGUGUCGGAGAGGGUGGUGGAAUUCCCAGUGUAGAGGUGAAAUUCGUAGAUAUUGGGAGGAACACCAGUGGCGAAGGCGACCGCCUGGACGACAACUGACGCUGAGGCGCGAGAGCGUGGGGAGCAAACAGGAUUAGAUACCCCCGUAGUCC
rnacentral:rRNA from 1 species